UACGUAGGGUGCAAGCGUUGUCCGGAAUUAUUGGGCGUAAAGAGCUCGUAGGCGGUUUGUCGCGUCGGCUGUGAAAGCCCGGAGCUCAACUCCGGGUCUGCAGUCGAUACGGGCAGACUUGAGUGUUGCAGGGGAGACUGGAAUUCCUGGUGUAGCGGUGAAAUGCGCAGAUAUCAGGAGGAACACCGGUGGCGAAGGCGGGUCUCUGGGCAACAACUGACGCUGGAGGAGCGAAAGCGUGGGGAGCGAACAGG
rnacentral:rRNA from 1 species